rnacentral:misc_RNA from 1 species
AGAAUCCUUGUGCCAAAAAAUUGGUGCCUUUGAUCACUUGGGAGAUUUUACUGGGUUUUCUUACACUGCCUCUGAGUUUGAAGAACUCCCGGCAUUGCAGAAAUCAGUGGCAUUACAACGGAUGACAAUUUUAUCCAGGGUCGAACCAUCCCACAAAAGGAUGCUGGUUGAAGCAUUACAGAAUCAAAAUGAAGUGGUUGCAAUGACUGGAGAUGGAGUAAAUGAUGCACCUGCACUGAAGAAAGCAAACAUUGGAAUUGCCA